GCCCUUCGGGGUGAGUACAGCGGCGGACGGGUGAGUAACGCGUAGGAAUCUACCUAGUAGUGGGGGACAACUCGUGGAAACGCGAGCUAAUACCGCAUACGCCCUACGGGGGAAAGCGGGGGAUCUUCGGACCUCGUGCUAUUAGAUGAGCCUGCGUAAGAUUAGCUAGUUGGUGGGGUAAUGGCCUACCAAGGCGACGAUCUUUAGCUGGUCUGAGAGGAUGAUCAGCCACACCGGGACUGAGACACGGCCCGGACUCCUACGGGAGGCAGCAGUCGGGAAUAUUGCGCAAUGGGCGAAAGCCUGACGCAGCCAUGCCGCGUGUGUGAAGAAGGCCCUAGGGUUGUAAAGCACUUUCAAUUGGGAGGAAAAGCUAAUGGUUAAUAGCCAUUAGCCCUGACGUUACCUUUAGAAGAAGCACCGGCUAACUCGUGCCAGCAGCCGCGGUAAUACGGAGGGUGCAAGCGUUAAUCGGAAUUACUGGGCGUAAAGCGCGCGUAGGCGGUUUUUUAAGUCGGAUGUGAAAGCCCCGGGCUCAACCUGGGAAUUGCAUCCGAUACUGGAUGACUAGAAUGCGGGAGAGGGAGGUAGAAUUCCAUGUGUAGCAGUGAAAUGCGUAGAUAUAUGGAGGAAUACCAGUGGCGAAGGCGGCCUCCUGGCUCGACAUUGACGCUGAGGUGCGAAAGCGUGGGGAGCAAACGGGAUUAGAUACCCCGGUAGUCCACGCCGUAAACGAUGUCUACUAGCUGUAGGGGUACUUGAGACCUUUGUAGCGCAGCUAACGCAAUAAGUAGACCGCCUGGGGAGUACGGCCGCAAGGUUAAAACUCAAAUGAAUUGACGGGGGCCCGCACAAGCAGUGGAGCAUGUGGUUUAAUUCGAUGCAACGCGAAGAACCUUACCAGGCCUUGACAUCCCCGGAACUUUCUAGAAGAUAGAUUGGUGCCUUCGGGAACCGGGUGACAGGUGCUGCAUGGCUGUCGUCAGCUCGUGUCCUGAGAAGUUUGGGGUUAAGUCCCGUAACG
rnacentral:rRNA from 1 species